rnacentral:lncRNA from 1 species
AUGUUGUCACUGCCAGCACCUGGUGGUCAAGUGGCUCUGAGCCUCAGUUUCUCCAGUUGCGACUGGAAGAGAGACGCAGCCCUGCCUCCGCCGCUGCGCCACCUAGCAGGAUGUGGCGAGUGUGAACAGGGCUGUUUCUGUGGGUGGUUUGGACCCCCGUGCUGCUUGGCACUUGCGGCCCGCAGUUGGCCAGGGUCGUGCGUGGUUGUAAUGAGGCCUGAUGGGAAGACCCCGGACUCCACCGCGGCCUUGAGCAGCUGCCAGCUCCGUGACCGGGCCUGCUUUGCAACUUGCCUGCUAGUUAUUUUUUUUUCCAGGGUGUCUGGUUCCUGCAAACAGGCUUCCCAAAAACCUUGUCAGGUUCCAAGAAGCCCCUUUGGCGUCGUGGUUCCCCAGCUCCGCGGGAAACCUCAAGACGGUCUCACUCCGUUUGGCUCUGUGCAAACUCCUCUCCCUGGCUUCCCCAUUAGGUCACAGACCAAGGUGCAGGCAAUGGCAAGGAAGCCAGCCCAGCUGGCCGGUCGUGAUGGCCUGGGGCCUGCAAGGAACAGAGCCUGCAUUGUUAGCCGGCCUAUCUCCUGGUUUCUGAUUCUCCCGGGGCCGCGGCAGCCUGAGCAGGAACAGCAUCCGAGGACGCGGGAUGAGUUGCAAACCUGUGCAGUCUCCGCCCAGCCCCAGGCUAGCCAGGGACGCCCACCCGCGGGGCACUCCCGGGAAGUCAGCCCUGGAGUGUGCCUACGGCUUCCAACACCCAGGCCCGAGGGCGCAAGGAAGAAGAGAGGAGGUUCCUAA